rnacentral:rRNA from 1 species
AUUGAACGCUGGCGGCAGGCCUAACACAUGCAAGUCGAGCGGAUGAAGGGAGCUUGCUCCUGGAUUCAGCGGCGGACGGGUGAGUAAUGCCUAGGAAUCUGCCUGGUAGUGGGGGAUAACGUCCGGAAACGGGCGCUAAUACCGCAUACGUCCUGAGGGAGAAAGUGGGGGAUCUUCGGACCUCACGCUAUCAGAUGAGCCUAGGUCGGAUUAGCUAGUUGGUGGGGUAAAGGCCUACCAAGGCGACCAUCCGUAACUGGUCUGAGAGGAUGAUCAGUCACACUGGAACGGAGACACGGUCCAGACUCCUACGGGAGGCAGCAGUGGGGAAUAUUGGACAGUGGGCGAAAGCCUGAUCCAGCCAUGCCGCGUGUGUGAAGAAGGUCUUCGGAUUGUAAAGAACUUUAAGUUGGGAGGAAGGGCAGUAAGUUAAUACCUUGCUGUUUUGACGUUACCAACAGAAUAAGCACCGGCUAACUUCGUG